rnacentral:rRNA from 1 species
GACGAACGCUGGCGGCGUGCUUAACACAUGCAAGUCGAGCGGAAAGGCCACUUCGGUGGUACUCGAGCGGCGAACGGGUGAGUAACACGUGAGUAAGCUGCCCCUCACUUUGGGAUAGCCACCGGAAACGGUGAUUAAUACCGGAUAUGACCAUAUGUCGCAUGGCGUGUGGUGGAAAGUUUUUCGGUGAGGGAUGUGCUCGCGGCCUAUCAGCUUGAUGGUGAGGUAAUGGCUCACCAUGGCUUCGACGGGUAGCCGGCCUGAGAGGGUGACCGGUCACACUGGGACUGAGACACGGCCCAGACUCCUACGGGAGGCAGCAGUGGGGAAUAUUGGACAAUGGGCGGAAGCCUGAUCCAGCAACGCCGCGUGAGGGAUGACGGCCUUCGGGUUGUAAACCUCUUUCAGUACCGACGAAGCGCAAGUGACGGUAGGUACAGAAGAAGCACCGGCCAACUACGUG